GUAAAUUACUGUCUUACAGAAUUACUUCUGAGGUCCUUGAAGCAGUACGAGUGAACCGCAGGAAAAGUGCUCUUGCUUUGCGCUGGGAAGCAGGAAUAUACGCCAAUCGAGAAGAAGAUGAAUAAAGACUUUUCAAAUUCAAUAUCCAAAAAAAAACAUAAAAAGGAAUCAUUUAAUCCCAUAUUUAUUGAACAUUCAGCAGCCUCUGCAAUUCAUAUAGAGAUAAUGCAGGCCGUAUUUGUAAGACAGUGAAUAACGCAAAACGACCACAGCCCAAGACCAGAAAAGCUUUGGACUCUCAGGAAAUGAAAAUGUUGUCUUUGGCAUUGACAGAUGAUGUGGGCCCUAAACCCUGGGGCUAUGCUUGACGAUCCCCCAAAGCCAAACACUCAAAGUGCAAGUGCUUCCUGCUCCAGUACACAGCUUGUCCUGCUCUAUAGAAACAUUUUGCCUCUAACAUGGAUGUUAUAUCUGAAGUAGGAGCCUUCAAACAGAUCUUGUGCACAGGUCUGCAGCUUUGUCUUCCUGUACAGCACAAUAUAAAAUUAGCCUAGUCCUUCAUUUAGAUAGCCAUACUAUAAUAUUUUGGGUUUGCUGAUGAGGGCUGUGAUUUUUUUUGGUAAAUAAGAACCAUAUAUAUUUACAUACAAUCUUUUAACCCGUUGAGUGCCAGUGAGAAUUGCACUGGUAACUGAGAGGUUAAACUGUUAAUGCUUAGAUAUAUGGAUAUUUGAUACUACAAAUUCUGGAACGAUGCCUAGUCAAUAUGGCCGUCUCCAGAAUGGGGUGGCAUCUAACAGUUAACUGUACAGCCAUAUGCGACUGCAAUCCUGUAACUUUAACUAUUUAAAGCACAAUUACAUAAAUAUAUAGAUAGAUAUAUAUACCAUUUGUGGCUCUCAGGGAGGAAAGGAUAACGAUGGUAUUGCUUUUCCAUUUUUAAUUCAAUCUAUUCUUAUCAUAAAGCACAUGGUGUUUCCCUGCAAAUGGUUGCAUAUAUAGGUUGUCUGUAAAAAGAAAUAUACAGUGAGGAAGGCAGUCAAUAUUUAGGGAACAGAACUGACUUUUUAAAGACACCGAACAAUUGGUAGAAAACUGUUUAAAUAUGGACGUGAUAUUCCCAAUUUAUUCCUUAAAUGUUUGGGAAAAUAUAUUUUUUGAGGGAAUCACCCUUUUUCUCUUAUGUUAUCCGAAAUAUUGUUAAAUAGAUUUUAUCAUUUUGUAAUAGCAAUACAAAUGUUUAAAUGGCAAUAAAGUUGCAAGUGAUUCAUAUGUUGAA